GCUUUCUUUGCUGGCGACCGGNGCNNGGGUGAGUAACACGUAUCCAACCUGCCCUUUACUCGGGGAUAGCCUUUCGAAAGAAAGAUUAAUACCCGAUAGCAUAAUGAUUCCGCAUGGUUUCAUUAUUAAAGGAUUCCGGUAAAGGAUGGGGAUGCGUUCCAUUAGGUUGUUGGUGAGGUAACGGCUCACCAAGCCUUCGAUGGAUAGGGGUUCUGAGAGGAAGGUCCCCCACAUUGGAACUGAGACACGGUCCAAACUCCUACGGGAGGCAGCAGUGAGGAAUAUUGGUCAAUGGGCGCUAGCCUGAACCAGCCAAGUAGCGUGAAGGAUGAAGGCUCUAUGGGUCGUAAACUUCUUUUAUAUAAGAAUAAAGUGCAGUAUGUAUACUGUUUUGUAUGUAUUAUAUGAAUAAGGAUCGGCUAACUCCGUGCCAGCAGCCGCGGUAAUACGGAGGAUCCGAGCGUUAUCCGGAUUUAUUGGGUUUAAAGGGAGCGUAGGUGGACUGGUAAGUCAGUUGUGAAAGUUUGCGGCUCAACCGUAAAAUUGCAGUUGAUACUGUCAGUCUUGAGUACAGUAGAGGUGGGCGGAAUUCGUGGUGUAGCGGUGAAAUGCUUAGAUAUCACGAAGAACUCCGAUUGCGAAGGCAGCUCACUGGACUGCAACUGACACUGAUGCUCGAAAGUGUGGGUAUCAAACAGGAUUAGAUACCCUGGUAGUCCACACAGUAAACGAUGAAUACUCGCUGUUUGCGAUAUACAGUAAGCGGCCAAGCGAAAGCAUUAAGUAUUCCACCUGGGGAGUACGCCGGCAACGGUGAAACUCAAAGGAAUUGACGGGGGCCCGCACAAGCGGAGGAACAUGUGGUUUAAUUCGAUGAUACGCGAGGAACCUUACCCGGGCUUAAAUUGCAGUGGAAUGAUGUGGAAACAUGUCAGUGAGCAAUCACCGCUGUGAAGGUGCUGCAUGGUUGUCGUCAGCUCGUGCCGUGAGGUGUCGGCUUAAGUGCCAUAACGAGCGCAACCCUUAUCUUCAGUUACUAACAGGUCAUGCUGAGGACUCUGGAGAGACUGCCGUCGUAAGAUGUGAGGAAGGUGGGGAUGACGUCAAAUCAGCACGGCCCUUACGUCCGGGGCUACACACGUGUUACAAUGGGGGGUACAGAAGGCAGCUAGCGGGUGACCGUAUGCUAAUCCCAAAAGCCUCUCUCAGUUCGGAUCGAAGUCUGCAACCCGACUUCGUGAAGCUGGAUUCGCUAGUAAUCGCGCAUCAGCCACGGCGCGGUGAAUACGUUCCCGGGCCUUGUACACACCGCCCGUCAAGCCAUGGGAGCCGGGGGUACCUGAAGUACGUAACCGCAAGGAUCNUCCU
rnacentral:rRNA from 1 species